rnacentral:rRNA from 1 species
UACGUAGGGUGCAAGCGUUUAAUCGGAAUUACUGGGCGUAAAGGGCGCGCAGGCGGCCGAUCAAGUCAGAUGUGAAAGCCCCGGGCUCAACCUGGGAAUAGCAUUUGGGACUGGUCGGCUAGAGUUCGGGAGAGGAGAGUGGAAUUCCCAGUGUAGAGGUGAAAUUCGUAGAUAUUGGGAAGAACACCGGUGGCGAAGGCGGCUCUCUGGACCGAUACUGA